GAAAUGCGAUAAGUAGUGUGAAUUGCAGAAUUCAGUGAAUCAUCGAAUCUUUGAACGCACAUUGCGCCCUUUGGUAUUCCAAAGGGCAUGCCUGUUCGAGCGUCAUUUGUACCCUCAAGCUUUGCUUGGUGUUGGGCGUCUUGUCUCUAGCUUUGCUGGAGACUCGCCUUAAAGUAAUUGGCAGCCGGCCUACUGGUUUCGGAGCGCAGCACAAGUCGCACUCUCUAUCAGCAAAGGUCUAGCAUCCAUUAAGCCUUUUUUCAACUUUUGACCUCGGAUCAGGUAGGGAUACCUGCUGAACUUAAGC
rnacentral:misc_RNA from 1 species